UACGGGGGGAGCAAGCGUUGUUCGGAUUUACUGGGCGUAAAGGGCGCGUAGGCGGUCGUGACAAGUCACUUGUGAAAUCUCCGGGCUUAACUCGGAACGGUCAAGUGAUACUGUCGGACUAGAGUACAGAAGGGGCAACUGGAAUUCUCGGUGUAGCGGUGAAAUGCGUAGAUAUCGAGAGGAACACCUGCGGCGAAAGCGGCGCGCUGGACCUCUUCUGACGCUGAGGCGCGAAAGCCAGGGGAGCAAACGGG
rnacentral:rRNA from 1 species